GCUAGCCCAAGAGAAUCUGAAGAAUUUUUACAUACAACUGCUCUAUCAUCCCUGGGACUGUUACUGUUAUAGCUAGAAUAACACAGGCGUUAAGUCCCGUGUGCUGAAAUGACUUGGGUACCGCAACAAAUGUAACACGUCAGCACCUAAAUGACACCCCAACCCCCAACGCCAGGCAAAUAACAGAGGCUGACAGAUGAUAAAGCAAGAAACGGUUCUUCCAGUAAAGGGUAACUAACUGGCCUCGGAGGAAAAGCGCACUGCAGCAGGGAUGAGCAAGCCCGUGCCAGCCGGAACUGCCAGGGCUGCCCCACGGUGGCAACCUGCUCUUCACCACCUGUCCAGCCACCUGCCUGAGGAAGUCCUUCCAAGGAGGGUUCACCUCAGCAAGAAACCACACGCAGUUUUCAAGAGAAACCAGAAAGGGAAAGCCAAGGGUGCAACUUUAUUCUUAGGCAAAAGACAACAAAAAAGACAUGUGUCUCUCUGCACAGCAGAACGCCUGAGCGGCUGGAGUUCUCCGCGGAGAGAGUUCUGUGCCCAGCGGAUGAUUGGGAUGUGUGAAAGCACCAGUCCUGCUGUUCCAAAGCUGCAAAGAUCACCAUGACACAGGACAACAACAGGAUAACCAGGAGGAGGACCCAAUAUUGAUGGUAUCAUAAAAGUCAAAGAUCUCGAACCAGACCCAUAGUGACUCAUUGCCAUGAACAUCUGCAAAUGAACAAGUGUGGACAGAGAGACGUCCUCUGGGACACACUGUGACAUACUACAGCUUUCCACAAUGAGAUGUUUUCUAUGCUUUGA